CAGCAGUGAAGGGAGGCCUUGAGAAUAAUCCUCUGGCAUCAAACAUUGGCUUUGCACUGAUCCUUCUCUGCUUUGAGAAAAUUGUAGAGUUGGAGUUUGUUUGUCCCUGUCAGUCAAAACAGAAUGCUGUCUCUGUGUUAUCAUUUUUCUUAGCUCCAGCAUUGAUUGUCUUUAUGCUCAUGAUUAAAACAGAUUGUCUGUGUCCGUGUAAAUCAUGUGUGCAAAAUGUCCUUGGUGGUGUAGUUCCUGCUGUAACAUGGUGUAUAAUACUGUUAAUAGAUGGUCGUUAUUAUGCCUGUUUUUGGACCAACUGGUCAGGAUACUAUGAACUUAGUGAGACUGCUUCCCCUCUGAAAUGGUGUAAACCAUUUAAUUUAUCUCAUGAAGAAGAGAUCCAGACUCUGGAGUGGUACUCCACGUCACAGGUCAUUGGACUCUGGGUUGCAGUUGGUCUCACUCUAGUUUUUAAGGUCUAUUUGUUCUGUAUGUCCUUCUGCUGCAAACAUCAAGAAAGAACAGACGGUGUAAAUCCCUCUCAAGACAUCCAUCUACAGGUGCAGAACAGAGAAUGACAGAAAUUAAGAAAAGAAAACAAUCACAUUUGGUGGGAGGACUACCAAUUUGAACAAUCAGACAUAAUGCAGAAAAUCUAGAGUAACGUUAAAAUAUCUUCCAAUUAUUCAAGUGCUAUGGCAGAUAAUAAAACAUUUGUAAGAUAUACUAAAUUUACUUCUAGUUAUAACAAAACAAUGUCUUUACUUUCAAAAUGUUAUGUUAAAUGGUUUGUUAGAAUAUUAAUGCAUGAUAUUUCUUGUUUAGAUCAUUUAUUGUAUUAUACAUUCUAACUUACUUUUUUGCUUCUUAAACAUAUUUACAUUAUAUUCUGUAUAAUUUUGAAAUCAUCAUAUUCAAGUCCAAGGUGUUGUUGCCCUGUUACAGAGACUCUUUUCCGUGUGUCUAGCUUGAUGCUUUGGGUGUGGCUUCAUGUUGAACCUGAGCAUACAGCUAAACAAAUCUACUUAUUCAAAUCCUCCAUUGUUUCGGGAAAGAUUGAAAUUUAAUCAUGUUUAUUUUUUUAUUUUCAUUUUCCAAGUUGCAGGAAACCAGCUUUAAAUAACCUUCGCCUCCACUCUGACUUUUCUAAAUAAAAUUCAUUGCAACAAAUUGCUCUUUCUAAAUUAAUUAAAAUAAGAGUCUACCUAUUUGUGUUCUGUGAAGGCAUCAAGGGUUUAGUAGAGAACAUUAGACAUCAAGCGGCAUCACAAAACCUGAACAACUUUGAGGGUUUAUAGUUAAAAAAACCUCACUUAACAAAAACAAAUAAACUCCACUAAACAGGUCAUUUACAUUUUA